UCGGGAAUUUUGGGCAAUGGGCGCAAGCCUGAUCCAGCCAUGCCGCGUGCAGGAUGACGGUCCUAUGGAUUGUAAACUGCUUUUUGUACAGGAAGAAACAGUUCUACGUGUAGAACCUUGACGGUACUGUAAGAAUAAGGAUCGGCUAACUCCGUGCCAGCAGCCGCGGUAAUACGGAGGAUCCAAGCGUUAUCCGGAAUCAUUGGGUUUAAAGGGUCCGUAGGCGGUUAGAUAAGUCAGUGGUGAAAGCCCAUCGCUCAACGGUGGAACGGCCAUUGAUACUGUCUGACUUGAAUUAUUAGGAAGUAACUAGAAUAUGUAGUGUAGCGGUGAAAUGCUUAGAGAUUACAUGGAAUACCAAUUGCGAAGGCAGGUUACUACUAAUGGAUUGACGCUGAUGGACGAAAGCGUGGGUAGCGAACAGGAUUAGAUACCCAGGUAGUCCCUGAGCGGGCUGGCAAGGCGCAU
rnacentral:rRNA from 1 species